AACGAACGCUGGCGGCAUGCCUAACACAUGCAAGUCGAACGAGACCUUCGGGUCUAGUGGCGCACGGGUGCGUAACGCGUGGGAACCUGCCCUUAGGUUCGGAAUAACUCCCCGAAAGGGGUGCUAAUACCGGAUAAUGUCUUCGGACCAAAGAUUUAUCGCCUUUGGAUGGGCCCGCGUUGGAUUAGCUAGUUGGUAGGGUAAAAGCCUACCAAGGCGACGAUCCAUAGCUGGUCUGAGAGGAUGAUCAGCCACACUGGGACUGAGACACGGCCCAGACUCCUACGGGAGGCAGCAGUGGGGAAUAUUGGACAAUGGGCGAAAACCUGAUCCAGCAAUGCCGCGUGAGUGAUGAAGGCCUUAGGGUUGUAAAGCUCUUUUACCCGGGAUGAUAAUGACAGUACCGGGAGAAUAAGCUCCGGCUAACUCCGU
rnacentral:rRNA from 1 species